GAAAUCGCAGCUGCUUCGUUUCGCUAGUUCAUGUCGCUAUGAUUAUUGCGGAUGUGGCUUGAAGCUGAGGUUGCUGUUGUUGAUGAUUUCGGGUUAAGGUGGAAAGGACUCUGUGAGGCGUUUGGUUUAUGGAAUUACGUUUUGAG